GAUCAUGGGCUCAGGAUGAACGCUAGCUACAGGCUUAACACAUGCAAGUCGAGGGGCAGCAUGGUCUUAGCUUGCUAAGGCUGAUGGCGACCGGCGCACGGGUGAGUAACACGUAUCCAACCUGCCGUCUACUCUUGGCCAGCCUUCUGAAAGGAAGAUUAAUCCAGGAUGGGAUCAUGAGUUCACAUGUCCGCAUGAUUAAAGGUAUUUUCCGGUAGACGAUGGGGA
rnacentral:rRNA from 1 species